UCUUUGGUCUCGGCGGCAGAAGCAAGAUGACGAAGGGGACGUCCUCGUUCGGCAAGCGCCGCAACAAGACGCACACGCUGUGCCGCCGCUGCGGCUCCAAGGCCUACCACCUGCAGAAGUCCACCUGCGGCAAGUGUGGCUACCCUGCCAAGCGCAAGAGGAAGUAUAACUGGAGUGCCAAGGCCAAGCGACGGAACACCACCGGGACGGGUCGCAUGCGGCACCUGAAAAUCGUGUACCACAGGUUCAGGCAUGGAUUCCGUGAAGGAACAACUUAUAUAAAAAUCAACCAGUGA